UACGAAGGGUGCAAGCGUUAAUCGGAAUUACUGGGAGUAAAGGGUGUGUAGGCGGUUCGUUAAGUCUGUCGUGAAAUCCCCGGGCUCAACCUGGGAAUGGCGAUGGAUACUGGCGAGCUAGAGUGUGUCAGAGGAUGGUGGAAUUCCCGGUGUAGCGGUGAAAUGCGUAGAGAUCGGGAGGAACAUCAGUGGCGAAGGCGGCCAUCUGGGACAACACUGACGCUGAAGCACGAAAGCGUGGGGAGCAAACAGG
rnacentral:rRNA from 1 species